AUUGAACGCUGGCGGCAUGCCUUACACAUGCAAGUCGAACGGCAGCACGGGUGCUUGCACCUGGUGGCGAGUGGCGAACGGGUGAGUAAUACAUCGGUACAUGUCCUGUAGUGGGGGAUAGCCCGGCGAAAGCCGGAUUAAUACCGCAUACGAUCUACGGAUGAAAGCGGGGGACCUUCGGGCCUCGCGCUAUCGGGUUGGCCGAUGGCUGAUGAGCUAGUGGGUGGGGUAAAGGCCUACAAAGGCGAGGAACAGUAGAUGGUCUGAGAGGACGAGCAGCCACACUGGGACGGAGACACGGCCCAGACUCCUACGGGAGGCAGCAGUGGGGAAUUUUGGACAAUGGGCGAAAGCCUGAUCCAGCAAGGCCGCGUGUGUGAAGAAGGCCUUCGGGUUGUAAAGCACUUUUGUCCGGAAAGAAAUCCUUGGCCCUAAUACGGUCGGGGGGAUGACGGUACCGGAAGAAUAAGCACCGGCUAACUACGUG
rnacentral:rRNA from 1 species